rnacentral:rRNA from 1 species
AAGCGCUCGCAACCAGACUCGCUCGUGGGUGUUCAGCUGUUCUUUGGAGCGGUGCAUUCUCCCAUGAUCGGGCCAGCAUCGGUUUUGGCGGCCGGAUAAAGGCCCUAGGAACGUAGCUCCUCUCGGGGAGUGUUAUAGCCUGGGGUGCAAUGCGGCCAGUUAAGACCGAGGAUCGCGCAUUCGCUAGGAUGCUGGCGUAAUGGUUGCCAGCG